rnacentral:rRNA from 1 species
UACGUAGGGGGCAAGCGUUGUCCGGAAUCAUUGGGCGUAAAGAGCGUGUAGGCGGCUCGAUAAGUCCGCUGUGAAAGUCCAGGGCUCAACCCUGGAAGGCCGGUGGAAACUGUCGGGCUAGAGUCCGGAAGAGGUGAGUGGAAUUCCUGGUGUAGCGGUGAAAUGCGUAGAUAUCAGGAGGAACACCUGUGGCGAAAGCGGCUCACUGGACCAUAACUGACGCUGAUGCACGAAAGCUAGGGGAGCAAACAGG